rnacentral:rRNA from 1 species
UACGUAGGGGGCAAGCGUUGUCCGGAAUCAUUGGGCGUAAAGCGCGCGUAGGUGGCUUCGUAAGUCCGUUGUGAAAGUCAAAGGCUCAACCUUUGAAAGCCGAUGGAUACUGUGAAGCUAGAGUACGGAAGAGGCGAGUGGAAUUCCUGGUGUAGCGGUGGAAUGCGCAGAUAUCAGGAGGAACACCAAUAGCGAAGGCAGCUCGCUGGGACGUUACUGACACUGAGGCGCGAAAGCGUGGGGAGCGAACAGG